CCGGGUUCAGCGGGUGGUCCUCGCGCCAGCGGCGGACGAGGUCGGGGUUGGCCAGCACGGGCCGACCGACGGCGACCGCGUCGCCGUGCCCGGC
rnacentral:tRNA from 1 species